rnacentral:rRNA from 1 species
GAUGAACGCUAGCGGCAGGCCUAAUACAUGCAAGUCGGACGGGAUUCAGGAGCUUGCUUCUGAUGAGAGUGGCGCACGGGUGCGUAACACGUAUGUAACCUACCUUUAUCAGGGGGAUAGCCUCUCGAAAGAGAGAUUAAGCCCGCAUAAAAUCAUAGCACAGCAUUGUGUAAUGAUCAAAUAUUUAUAGGAUAAAGAUGGGCAUGCGGAACAUUAGCUAGAUGGCGGGGUAACGGCCCACCAUGGCGACGAUGUUUAGGGGAUCUGAGAGGAUGGCCCCCCACACUGGUACUGAGACACGGACCAGACUCCUACGGGAGGCAGCAGUAAGGAAUAUUGGUCAAUGGGCGGAAGCCUGAACCAGCCAUGCCGCGUGCAGGAAGACGGCCCUACGGGUUGUAAACUGCUUUUAUACGGGAAUAAACCCAGAUACGUGUAUCUGGCUGAAUGUACUGUAAGAAUAAGGAUCGGCUAACUCCGUG